UCUUAGUUGUCUUAGAGGCUCCCUGUACAGUAGGAGUCUAUGCAGCUCCCAUGUUUUCUGAUAUUUAGGAAGCUAUGUUAAUUCCUGGAGGCCAUCUGGGAACUUAAUUUGAGGACCCUAAGAAAUUACUGUAGUUAAAUUUUAUAGAAGUCAUUCCACCAAGAAAAGAACCUUGUUUUUAGAGACAAUAGACCUGUGGGCUGGGAAACAGGUGCCUAGCAUUCCCUAGGAGAGAUGGAGAAGUUACCUCACCCCCACAGCAGUCACAAAGCACAGGGGUCGGGCUAUUUAGUAAUCACUGGACCUUUAUGUGACAAAGAAGUCACUCUGGUACUGUCUUUCUCUAACUUUGAUUCCAUUUGACCUAUUUAUAGCCUGCAUAUUCUAGCCUUGGGGGCCUUUUUUUCACUGAUAUCAUGUAGACACUAUUUGACAGAACAGGUUUCUUUACAGAACAGAGGGUUUUGACGUUCUGCUGCCUCUAAUAAGCUCUCCUUUCUGCUUGGCUGAGAUCACUCAGAAGAGGAAAGAAGAAACCGUUGCCUUUUGCUGUCCAGUUAUUGGAAGCCAGGCCAUGCGUGACUGCUUCACCUGCGUUAUUCAACUCCUGCUUCACAGCAACCAGCACUCUUUCCAUCUUACCUGCUUUGGGUGUCUAUUUCCUACCACUGGACUUUAAGAUCCACUGGACUCUCUCUGCUGAGGACCCAUAACAAACUCCAGGACCAGUUCCUUUUUUCUCUUGCACCCUGUGGAGUAUGUUUAUUGACUACAGAUGCUAAGCACUUUGCUAAGGAACAGAAAGCUGCAAGAUAGAAUAUGUACUUCACCUGAGUGGGUGCAUAGAAACCGGCCGUGUGUCUGAAUCUUUAAGAACUCAAGUGGAACGUAUGCUUACAAGUUUAAAGGUCAGAAUCACAACAUACAGACUUGAAUUGGAAUGACUGCAAGAUAGUUUCAGGAUUAUAAGACUUCUAUGUAAAAGAAGUUAAUAAAAGGCAUAUUAAGACCAGUCUUAACUCUCCCUUCCCAGCACACCCUAUGGACUAUCUGACUUAUUACACGGGCCAUACCCAGAAUGUUCUAUAUCGGACUGGCGGGAGCAGCAACAUAUUGGAAGGAGCUGAGGACUUCUCUAGAAGCUGCAUUCGCAUAGCUCGCUGCUCUUUCUACUUAGAUGUAUUUAUUGGGGAAGGAGGAUGCCCCUAAAGAACUUGUCGCCAUGCCACCUCUGGUUCCAGUACUGUGCAGUGCUCCUUGGCCCUCCAGUCCAAAACUAUCACUGUGAAGUUUGUUUCAAUGAGAAAAGGGCAAGAGUUGAAAACUUUUAUCUACACAGAAUCUGCACACAAAUAUUUAUAGCAGGUUUAUGCAUAAUUGCAAAAACUCAGAAGCAAACAAGAUGUCCUUCAAUGGAUGAAUGGAAAUCAAGCUAUCAAGCCAGGAAAAGAGAUGGAGGAAACUUAUAUGCAUAUCAUUAAGUGAAAGAAGCCAGUCAGAAAAGCCUACAUGCUAUAUGAUUCCAACUAUAUGACACUCUGGAAAAGGUGACAACUCAUCUCAACAAAGAAUGCCAAGAGUGGGAUGGGCUUGGAGAGAAGAUUCGUGUUAGAGAUAAUGAGCUUGGAGUGCAGUUCCCUUGCAGCACAUGAAAGAGCAGGACCCCAUGCUUGGAGAUCUGCAAGGAAUCUAUCUAAGGAAGUUGAUUAAGAAAUGAUCUUGUGGGACUUCCCUGGCGCCGCAGUGGAUAAGACUCUGCGCUCCCAAUGCAGGGGGCCCGGAUUCGAUCCCUGGUCUGGUAACUAGAGCCCACAUGCAUGCCGCAGCUAAGAGUUUGCAUGCCAAAACUAAGGAGCCGGUGAGCCGCAACUAAGGAGCCCACCUGCCGCAACUAAGGAGCCUGCCUGCCGCAACUAAGACCCAA